rnacentral:rRNA from 1 species
UCAAGCAAAAAAGAGCGCAGGGUGGAUGCCUUGGCACUAAGAGCCGAAGAAAGACGUGAUAAGCUGCGAAAAGCUGCGGGGAGGAGCAAAUAUCCACUGAUCCGCAGAUGUCUGAAUGGGGAAACCCGCAUGAGCAUACCUCAUGCAUCCAUACGCCAAUCCAUAACGUAUGGAGGGGAACCGCCUGAACUGAAACAUCUAAGUAGGGCGAGGAAGAGAAAGAAAAUUUAUCGAUUUCCAAAGUAGCGGCGAGCGAAAUGGAAAGAGGCCAAACCGGAGUGCGUGCACUCCGGGGUUCGGACCGCAUUUAAGAUUCAGUGAUUCUAGCAGAAAGGUUUUGGGAAAGCCUGCCGGAGAGGGUGAAAGCCCCGUAAGCGAAAGAGGAACUGACUGAGCGGUAUCCAGAGUACAUCGAGACACGAGAAACCUUGAUGGAAUGAGCGGGGACCACCCCGUAAGCCUAAAUACUCCUUAGUGACCGAUAGCGCAUAGUACUGUGAAGGAAAGGUGAAAAGGACCCCGGGAGGGGAGUGAAAGAGAACCUGAAACCCUGUGUUUACAAGCUGUGGGACAUCUUUACAUGAUGAACCGCGUACUUUUUGUAGAACGGUCCGGCGAGUUGCGGAUGCCGGCAAGGUUAAGCACUUAAGGUGUGGAGCCGAAGGGAAACCAAGUCUGAAGAGGGCGCAUAUAGUCAGUAUCCGCAGACCCGAAACCGGGUGAUCUACCCAUGUCCAGGUUGAAGUUGCCGUAAAAGGCAAUGGAGGACCGAACGCACAUCCGUUGAAAAGGGUGGCGAUGAGGUGUGGGUAGGGGAGAAAUUCCAAUCGAACCCGGAGAUAGCUGGUUCUCCUCGAAAUAGCUUUAGGGCUAGCCUCGUUUUAGUCUUAUGGAGGUAGAGCACUGAAUUUCCGCGGGGGCGUCAAAGCUUACCAAAGAAUAUCAAACUCCGAAUGCCAUGUAGAUGAUGAACGGGAGUCAGACUGCACGAGAUAAGUUGGGCAGUCAAAAGGGAAAGAGCCCAGACCGCCAGCCAAGGUCCCAAAGUGUGUGUUAAGUGGAAAAGGAUGUGGGAUCUCCAAGACAACUAGGAUGUUGGCUCAGAAGCAGCCACACAUUCAAAGAGUGCGUAACAGCUCACUAGUCGAGAGGUCCUGCGCCGAAAAUGUCCGGGGCUGAAACACAACACCGAAGCUGCGGAAUCACGCAAGUGAUUGGUAGAGGAGCAUUCUUAAUACCGACGAAGCUGUACCGGAAGGAGCAGUGGAGGGAUAAGAAGAGAGAAUGCCGGAAUGAGUAGCGAGAGAGAGGUGGGAAUCCUCUCGGCCGAAUAUCCAAGGUUUCCAGAGUAAAGCUGAUCUGCUCUGGGUAAGUCGGGGCCUAAGGCGAGGUCAAAAGACGUAGCCGAUGGACAACAGGUUUAGAUUCCUGUACCGCAUAUAAACAGAACUGUGGGGACGCAUGGGGAGAGCAUGGGCCGGGAAUGGAAAUACCGGUGCAAGCGAAGGAGGUGUGCAGCCGGCAAAUCCGCUGCAUGAGCCGAAAGCGUGACGCGGAGCGAAAUGAAAGUAGCGAAGCAUGUGAGCCCUGUGCCGAGAAAAGCCGCUAUAGCUUUAUAUGUGCCCGUACCGUAAACCGACACAGGUGGAUGAGGAGAGAAUCCUAAGGCCGGCGGAAGAAGUAUUGUUAAGGAACUCGGCAAAAUGACCCCGUAACUUCGGGAGAAGGGGUGCCCACGGGAGUGGGCCGCAGAGAAUAGGCUCAAGCAACUGUUUAGCAAAAACACAGGUCUAUGCGAAACCGAAAGGUGAAGUAUAUGGGCUGACGCCUGCCCGGUGCUGGAAGGUUAAGAGGAGAGGUUAGCGCAAGCGAAGCUUUGAAUUUAAGCCCCAGUAAACGGCGGCCGUAACUAUAACGGUCCUAAGGUAGCGAAAUUCCUUGUCGGGUAAGUUC